CUCUGGUUAGCUCAGUUGGUAGAGCGCUUCACUGGAAUUUGGAGAGGUCCCGUGUUCAAUACCCGGACCAGGUG
rnacentral:tRNA from 1 species